ACGUCAAGUCCCUUCAAAAUGCAACCAGUCGUUCAGAUGCUCAAAAAGUUUGAGAAGCAAACUGACAAACAGAAUAAGUCCAGGACACUGGAAAAUACUUGAAAAACAUGGACUAAUGAAAACAACUGGAAACAGCGAAUGACAUCGGGAUUCCACACGAGGUUAACGAGGGGGCGUGGCACACGGGAGGAGCGGACAAGCGGCGCAUGACAAUUUGAGUUGCAGGGAUUUGACAAAAACAUCCUUUUAGAAAUGCGUGAGGAAGGUCAAGACUCUGGUCUCCAGCUCACCGCUCUCUGUUAUAUUUCCAUAGCCAUGUUGUCCGAUAGUAACAUUGAAUUUUUCUAUGCUAUAGUUUUUUAUGUUUAAUCAUUGCAUGCUAUAUAAAUUAUUAUAAAUAAUAGUUUAUUUUCC